rnacentral:lncRNA from 1 species
GAAAAAGGAGAUACAUGACGAACAUCGCGCCGCAGCCUGGAAUGGCUAAAAGAUGAAGAUGACUAAACACCUAUCCUAUUAAUAUGCCGCCAUCCAAACCGGUUGAAGAUACCCUGUGCUACCAUCUCCCAGCGGGCACACCCAGUAACCAUAAGCUCCCUGGCUGCCACAGGAGUUAGUAACGACCAUGUGCGGAUCAGUGCGGUAAUUCGGUAGAUAACCUGCAAGAAUUGGAUAUCACGAGUUCUGUUAAAAACCAAAUCAUUUCUGCUAUUCCAUAAGGCCCAAAGAAGAGCACAUGCUCCGACACGAAUAGAUUUAGCCAAUUGAACAUCAAUUCCCUGUAACCACGUUUCAAAUAACGAGUUCAAGUCAACAGGAGGAGCGAUGUUAAAAGCAAUGUGAAUUGAUCGCCAAACAAUUUUAGCCAAAGGACAGUCGAGAAAGAGAUGGUGAAUACUUUCUAGGCUUGGACAGAAAGAACAUCUAGAACUUCCUUUCCAAUUCCAUUUGGCUAAAUUAUCCUUAGUUAAAAUAACUCCCUUGUGAACAAACCACAAGAAAACUUUUAUUCUAAGAGGGACCCUAACCUUCCAAAUGUGUAUUGAUUUUAGAAUUGGUACUGAGUCAAUGAGAUCGGAAUACAUGGACUUAACCGUAAACAGCCCAUUUGGUGUUAAUCUCCAGGAGAUACGAUCACACCUAUCAGAAAUAUUAACCGCCAUUAAUCUUCUAACUAGAUGCAACCAUGAAACCCAUCUAUCCCCAACUAAAGAUCUGCGGAAUUGAAUAUUAAGGGGAAUCUCCCGCAAUACCGCCGCAACUGUCACUUGUCGACGUUGGGCGAUAUGGUACAACCGCGGGUAUUGAACUGCCAGAGGCGAUUCUCCUAACCAGGUGUCUUCCCAGAAUCUAGUCAAUUCCCCAUUUCCAAUUAUGAACCUCGAUCUGUGGUAGAAUGAACUUUUUACCCGCAUUAGACCCUUCCAAAAUGGCGAGUCAAAAGGUCUCGCUUCUACCUGCGAUAAGGAUUUAGAGUGCAGGUACUUGUUUGAGAGAAUUUCCACUCACAUUCCAUCGGUUUCCAUUGACAAUCUAUACAGCCACUUGCUGAGCAGACAUUUAUUUUUAGUUUCCAAAUUUUCAAUACCUAAUCCUCCUUGAUCUUUAGGACGGCAAAUAAUAUCCCAUUUCGCCAAUCUAUAUUUAGUCUUAACCUCAUCACUCUGCCAGAAAAAGCGAGAGCGGUAGAAAUCCAAUCUUUUACGUACCCCAACAGGUAUUUCAAAAAAGGAUAGGAGGAACAUAGGCAUACUUGUUAAUACCGAAUUCACCAAGACUAAUCUGCCUCCAUAAGAAAGAAGCUUGCCUUUCCAAGUAGUAAGUUUCUUUUCAAACCGUUCCUCAAUACAUUUCCACUCCGCAUUAGAAAGUUUACGAUGGUGAAUGGGGAUUCCUAAGUACGUAAACGGAAAUUCCCCUGCCACACAUCCGAACAACUGGUUAUAUAUGUGUUGUUGCUUUUUGGCUUCCCCAAAACAAAACAACUCACUUUUAUUAAAGUUAAUCUUCAACCCAGAUAACUGUUCAAAAAGGCACAAGAUGAGUUUGAGGUUUUUGGCUUUGAGUAAAUCGUGCUCCAUAAAGAGAAACGUAUCAUCAGCAUAUUGUAGAAUUGAAACUCCCCCAUCCACCAGAUGAGGUACUAAUCCAGAAGCAAGGUUUUUUUCAUUAGCUCUCUUGAUCAACAGAGCCAACAUAUCCGCAACAAUAUUGAAGAGAAUGGGAGACAUAGGGUCACCUUGUCUUAGUCCCUUUAGUGUCUGGAAGAAGUGCCCAAUAUCAUCAUUGACCUUGAUCCCGACACUCCCUCUUGUGAUAAAGGAAUCUAUGUGUUUUCUCCAAACCUCAUCGAACCCCUUCAUCCGCAAUGUUUGUUGCAAGAACGACCAUUUGACUUUGUCAUAUGCCUUUUCAAAAUCCACUUUAAAGAUAACUCCAUCUAGUUUCUUAGAGUGCAUUUCGUGUAGAGUCUCAUGUAGAACCACUACCCCUUCAAGUAUAUUACGCCCAGGCAUAAACGCUGUUUGCGAAGAUAGCACGACAGAGUGUGCCAUCUUCGUUAGUCUAUCCGUUCCAACCUUUGUGAAAAUUUUGAAACUAACAUUAAGCAAACAAAUCGGGCGAAACUGUUCAAUACGAGACGCUCCUUCCUUCUUUGGUAUCAACGUAAUAGUACCAAAAUUCAAAUGGAAUAGUUGGAGAUUACCAGCAUACAAAUCAUCAAACAUAGCCAUAAGGUCCUUCUUAAUGAUGUGCCAGCAGUGUUUGUAAAAUUCUGCCGGAAACCCAUCCGGACGAGGAGCCUUACCACACUUCAAACCUCCUAUCGCAUCUAACACCUCUUUCUCCGAGAAUGGAGCAGAUAGAGACUCAUUAUCAGCCUCCCCAACUUGGGGUAUAUCUGCAACCUGAUACUCGUCCAUAGUCACAAAACUAUCUUGAUGAGCACCAAACAGCUGUUUAUAAUAGUUAGAGAUAUAUAAUUUUAGAUUCUCGUGACCAACUAUGGUGCCUUCAUCCUGUUCAAGCUGCACUAUCCUCUUCUUUCUGUGCUUGCCAUUAGCUAUUAAAUGGAAGAUCUUAGUGUUAUUAUCCCCAAGAAUAAUAGCUUUAACUUUAGCUCUAUUCGCCCACUUCAUCUCCUCCUCUCUGAGAAGAGAACGGAGCCUUUGUUCCGCCUCAAAUCUUAGUUGACGUUCAUCUCUCUCUAAAACAGAGUUCUCUGCUUUUCUAUCAGCUCAUCGAUAAAGUUUAUGAGCCUAUCUCUCUCAUCUUUAUAUGUCCCCGAGACAUGCUUGGCCCAACCGCGAAGGUACUGUCUCAGGUGUCUGAUUUUAUUUUGCCAACGUUGUAUACUCGUUGAACCGCCCAAUGACCUAUUCCAUUCCCUAUGAACCAGGUCCAUAAAUCCCUCCCUUAAGAACCAACUGGAUUCGAAAGAGAAACUAUCUUUAUUACCCAGAUAUAAUGCAUCCCCAGUAUCCAACAACAGGGGGGUAUGAUCCGAAAUUGCCCUUUGGAGUGCACGAACCGAAACCAAAGGAAACUUCUGUUCCCAGUCCACACUGGUAAGAACUCUAUCUAACUUCUCAAAAGUUUGAUUUGGAAGGGAAUUUUCCCAAGUGAAAUUCCUACCUGUGAGUUCUAUCUCCUGUAGUUCUAGGCUCUCAAUAAUAGUAUUGAACAAGAAUGGCCAUCUACCAUCAAAAUUGCUAUUAUUAUUUUCAUAGGCCCAACGGAUAAUAUUAAAAUCUCCACCAAUCAGUAAAGGCAGUUGUUCAUCACAAAUGCGAACUAAGUCGGCCAAAAAUUCAGAUUUAAGCUCAGGCUGAGCAGCCCCAUACACCGCUACUAGAGCCCACCUGAAACCAUCCAUUUUGGAUGUAAUCUUGAAUUUUACCGCAAAAUCGCCGAACACUACUUCCCUAACCUGGAGUGUAUCACAUCGAACUCCUAGUAAUAUCCCUCCAGACCUUCCUCUUGGUGGAAGACAGUGCCAAUCAAAAUCAAUCCCUGCUGAGAGGGAGCUCAGAAACUGAGAGGAGAACUUAUCUCUCCCAGUCUCUAGGACGGCAAUAAAGUCGAGCUUGUGCUCCGUCGUGGCUUCAGCGAGGAAUCUAGUUUUAGCCAAGUCGCGAAGACCUCUGCUAUUCCAAAAAAUCCCUCUCAUCUUUCAUCAUAGAAUUUCUUAGCAAUCUUAAAGCAUGCACUCCUACGAAUAGCAGAGACCGGAUAGACUUUCCUAUUCCAGGUCCGUUUAGUUUUCUGCCCUUGACCCUGGUCCAUAUAACCAUGAUCAUCGGAGUCAUUAUGACCAACACCCUCGUCACCUACAGUGUUAUCAAGAACCGAAUCCUGACCUUCAUUAAGCUCAUCUAUGGGGUAUAGAUUCUGACAUAAAGAAUUCAGCCCCCCAAGGUUAGAAAUCUCUGCAUCUGUCAUUGGUUUAACCGCAGCUAAAUUCCUAACGAUAUCCAACGCCCUAUCAACCUCUAGGUCUAAUAAUUCAUUAAUAGAUUUCGCAACUUCCGCAUUCGUAUUACCAAGCGAGACCCCAAUUGCUGACGCUUUUUCAAUAAUUUCAGGAGAUGAAAACUGCAAAAUAGAAUGCUCCAAAUUAACCGACAUACCUGUUGACGAUUC